GACUAUGUCAUUUUUGAGUUUGCGAUUGAUGGAACGGAUUACAUCAUGAAUAUAUUAACAGUUCUGAAAUAAAACAACACAAUUAGUAUUACUAUACCAAUGAACUAGAUGAUGACAUUCAAUUAACGUCACGAAAUUUUAUUAACAAAUGGUACGUUUUAAUAUAAUUAAAUUAUCAAUAAUAUCUAUAAUUAAGAGUGUGUUAGAAUAUUUUUAUCGUAAAUUAACAAUUCAAAUUAAUAAACGAUUAUGCUAAUUGCACCAAUUAAAUUUUUUAUCCAAAAAUUUGAGUUUGUAUUUUUAAAUAUUUAUUGUUAAAAAAUAUAAAUGUUCGAGUUUAUUUGUACACAUUAAUUAUUUUGGUGAAUAAUAAAAUUAAUUAGUUCUGAAAUUGUUUAAAUCAUGUCGUAUUAAAUGUAAAUAAUGCAAAUCAUAUAUUAGAUAGGUACGUAAUUGUUUUUAUAAUUUGGCAUUGAUUGACAAAAAAAAUAAAACUCAAUAUUUUUGUUGAUAUGAAAAAAUAAAAAUUUUAAUCCUAAUAAUCCUAAUUUAUUUAUCCGAUUCUUAGUAAAAUUUAAAAAUAUAAAAAAAACCAGUGAUACAUGAAUUAAAGGACUAAAAUAGGUGAGUCAAAUUUAUUAGAUCGUUCAUUUUUAUAAGUAAAAUACUGCAAUUUAAAAAAAAAAUAAAUAUUGACUGGCAGUGUAAGUAUAUAUUUACCAUCAAUUGGCUGGCAGCGAGAGUGGCCUUGGCGACGAUUUUGGCGGCCUUGGCAGAUUGGACUUGUCCUACGACAACGAUGUUCAUGAUGGAUACUUUUUCAGCGCCCAUUUUUGGUGACUUUGGUUCGAGUUGAGUGGAAACUGAUUAAAAACUGCAAUAAAAAAAAAAAAUAAUAAUAAUAAUAUUAGAUUACUGUUAAUUUUUUUCGCACGCGUGCUUCGAAGACUACUCACCGAAGACAAAAAUCUCACGAAAAUAUGCUAUGUUGAAAUGACGAUCGUGGAUGCCUUUAUAUAGGAACGUAAUAUUACGCGAAAUGCUCGCGCUAUAUUUUGCGAUAAGACGAUAUGGUGUUUUUCGUCUGAUAACGACUAGGUAGUACUGUGGUGUUACUGUCUGCUGAUAAAGAGUAUUUUUUUGUUUUUUAUUCUUAAAUAUAAUCGUAUUGAAAUAAUUAGGAAUUAUGAAUAUAUUACAGGUAUAAAUAACAUUCAUUACAUUAAUGUAUUAGGCGUUUGUAUUAUUGGCUACACCGGCACAGUAUUUAAGAGACCCAAUACAUUUCCUAUACAUUAACAAACUAUUUAUAUGAAUAUAUUAUUAUGCCAUUUUUGGCGAAUAGUCAAUAUUGUCUUGUAACUGUAAUAUAACUUUGAUUUAACUUCGAUAAUAAUAAAAAAAAAAACCGUAAUCGAAUUUUCUAAGAAUAAAUUCAAUCUUAAUAGUGGCAUGUAUAUGAUUUUUGAAAGGAAGGAGACAAUUUUCGAAAUGGCAUUUCCCAGUUUCACACCUAUAACAGUGGCUGCUAUCGUUUUUAUUAUCCUAGGAAAGCUUUUCAAUUAUGUUAAUAGGUUAAUUCAUCUGAAUUUUAAAAUUCAUAAAUAGUUAUUCCUGCUGAACGCAAAUUGGCGGGAAUGACGUCGCUUAGCUAUGUCCCCCCCCCAAAAAAAGAAAUAUAAUUAAUUAAAACGUAAUUAAGUGUUUAAAAAAUAUAAUAUUGUUGUGGAAUUUUUUUUUUUAGAUUCAGUGGGAAGAGAAGUAUAGUUAGGUUAGGUCAGGGGUCGGCAAAAUUUUGCGUCGGAAUAGCUAAAAGUUACAAUAUACAAAAUUGUCCAGAUUUUAAAGAGUCAAUAAAAAUUUUCUUAAUUUGUUUAAUAUUAAUUUAUUUUUAAACUUUAACAGUUAUAAAAAUAAAAUACUACAGUUAUUAAAUAGAUAGUUAUAUCAUUGGGAGCAUUGGCUUUGCAUUUUUUUUGAAAAUUUUGUUAAAUAUGUUCAUAAUAUGUUUAAGUUUCAAGCACGACACUUGAUUUUUAUUAGUUAUUUGGCUUCUUACUUUAUUUUUUAUUGUAUUCAUGCAAAAGUACACUUGCUCGCGUGAAUAAGCCGACCAAAAAAUUGCCAGCACUCCAAAUGCCAACUUCAGAACCUCACUGUGGCGUUUUGGUAUACUACUCGUAUUCCAUGUGUCGAAUAUAAAUUUAUUUAUUCGCGGUAUUUCUUUUAGGGCUGUCCAUUUGUUCUACGCAACGUGCAUGCAUAUUUUGACCUCCAAUUCUUCAAACUUGCUCUUAAAUUUUGUAAAUUUUCCACUCCACAAGUCUUUGCUUUUUAAAUCCAACAAUUGCAUUUAAAACGAUACAGCAUCAAUUCCAAAUGGUUCAAUGUUGAUCUCAUGUGUGUUUGUGUUGAGACGAUUUACUACGAACGCGAGAGUACUUUUGUUUGUUUUGAAUUGUUUUAUAAUUAUGUAAAUGUAAUUUAUGUCAAUAAUUGCACUGGUUUCAUUGAGAUAUUGACUAAUUAGUUAUAGAUAACGUCGCAUAAUUUAUAUCGAUAUAGUGAUCGGUUUUAACGGCAUGUACUAUAAUAAUCAUUUUCCUACGACAGUCUGUGCAACGAGCGGACACUAUCAAGUUAUUGCUGUUAUGUAUUAUUUCAUACUUACAAAUGUAACAAAAAUAAUAUACAUUUUUUUUUUUUAGAAUAUUGACCAUAAAAUAAUUAGUUUUUGAGGAGCGUGGAACUGGAGAACCGCAACUUAAGAUCGAAAGAGCCACAUGUGGCUCGCGAGCCGCAGGUUGCCGACCCCUGAGUUAAGUCAAUUAAUUUUGCUAAGAUGUAUAAUUUUUUUUAUGUGCAUUGCGGAGGUCAUAAGAAUAUGUUGAUUAACAAAUACUAUAAAUUCCUUGACAAAAAUUGGAAAUUUUAGGUUUAGGUUUUAGUUGCAUUAUAUUUAUAUUGGAGCUAAUGAGAAAUGCUCAUUUUGAAUAACGGCAAUGGCAUGUUGGCCAAAUUAUAUGACAUUAUAUUGAAAAUCUAGGACACUGGGAAAUCGAAUACAUUUUGGCAGCCGUUCUUUUUGGCCAGUCUAUAGAACAACUAUUAAUUGCGUGCCGAUUUUUAACGUUAUGAAUUAUGGGAUGUAAUUGAUUUUUUUUGUUUAAAUAAAUAGUAAUUGUUCUUAAACAUAGUUGAUUUAUAUUUAGGACAUUAAAUUCAUUAUAUAGUUUUUUUGUUAAUAUUUAUAAUUGUUUUUGCAAGCGAUUCUAAUAAUAGUAAUUUGAAACUUUUAAAGCUGGGAUAGAGCAUGAUAUACAUUAGAAUUGUACUUAAAACAAUUUAAAUAUGUAUCACCGAUUUUGACAAUAAUUUGAUAUUUGCCUCGGAGAUGAGAAUAUGUUAGGCAAACUUUUUAUUAAUAAAAAUACAUAGUUUUGCAAAUAUAACGAUAGUUGAUAAUAACGUAUGAGCAUAAUAGUGAUUUAUAAUCGGUUAAUAAUCGAACCAUAGAUGUUAUCGCAAACGAACACGCCAUAUCACCUCAUUCUACAUAAACGACUUUCGCCUGAAUCCCUAUAAAAAUACGUGCACGAUUAUGAUUUUAGUAUAACACAGUAUUGAGCUAUUUUAUUCUCUGGUGAGUAAAUUAUCAUAUGAAACGUUUUCAAAUGUGUGACCAAAGUUAACAGUUUUUUAUUUUUUUAUUUGCAGUCGCUUCUUGACUCCACGAAAACUAAUCAAAAUCAAAAAUGGGCGCAGAAAAAGUAUCCAUGAACAUCGUCGUAGUCGGACAGGUCCAAUCAGCCAAAGCCGCCAAAAUCGUCGCCAAGGCCGCACCCGCCGACAGUCGAUUGAUGGUAAGUUUGACCGCGAGUUUACUUGUUUUGUUUGACUUUUUUCGUUUGUUCCAUUAGACUUCAUUAUGAUUGUACGCAUUAAUUAAUUCAUAUCGCAUUCUGUUAACCAUUUUACUAUGACGAUCACAGUAAAAACUUAUACGAAAUAUUAUUUAUCAAUCGAUAAAUGACUUUAAUAUAUCUAAACAUGUAUUAAAGCGAAUAUAAUAAACAAUAUCGCUUUAUUCUUAAAGCCUUUUUUUAUAAUAUAUACAAUGAAUGACAAAUAUUAACAAAUCGAGGUGACAUGUUUGACAUGAGAUAUUUUGAAUAGAGAAUCGUCGCGCUUUUUUUUUUAUUUUUUCUCGGUGCCUAAGUAUGUGAAGUCAUUGAUCAUGAUGUCGUUUGUUUGUUUCAGAACUGUUAACUCAUUUACUCAACUCAUCGAUUACACACUCAAAAAUGCCAUAGCCCAUACAAAUGUACACAAUAUUAUGUAACUUAUAAAUAUAAUGUAAAUUGACAUACAAAAAUAAACCAUUCUUUCCGUAA